GGACGGACGGNGACGUAACACGUGACCAACCUGCCCCCGCUCCGGGACAACCGCUGGAAACGGCGGCUAAUACCGGGUACUCCGCGGGCCCCGCAUGGGGCCGGCGGGAAAGCCCAGGCGGCGGGGGAUGGGGUCGCGGCCCAUUAGGUAGUAGGCGGGGUAGAGGCCCACCUAGCCGACGAUGGGUAGCCGGACUGAGAGGUCGACCGGCCACAUUGGGACUGAGAUACGGCCCAGACUCCUACGGAAGGCAGCAG
rnacentral:rRNA from 1 species